rnacentral:lncRNA from 1 species
AGUAUGGGUGUUAUAUUUACUAAUAAAUGGCAACAAGCUCAUGGUGUGCCUCCACCAUGUCUUCCCAGAAAAAAACAAUAAAAAGGAUAGUAUGGUCGGAUCAGUUCUAGCAUUUAUUUGAUGUACUCUUGGUUUGCUUGCUGAAAUUGUCAUAGAAAACCGACUUUUUAUCUCCUCUGAAUACCCUACGCAGGUACAGAGGCAUUGGGAUAAGGAUUGAAGAUGAAAUCCUUAUCACAGAAUCUGGUUAUGAAGUAAGUGCUCAGCUAUUCUUAACUUUCGAAAUUGGUACUGCCCUUGUACAUCAUAUUAAAAAAUGCCGCAAUCUCCUUCGUCUAGAGAUCUUGUGAUUACAUCUGAGGCCAAAGUUUUUGCAUGCAUGCAUUAUUAGAUGGAGGUUUUUUUUUUUAAAAAAAAAAACAGUUUGUCCUGGUAGUAAGCUGUGGUUCUAAAAUAUUGUCUCUGGGUGUAGGUACUUACAGGAUCACUACCAAAAGAGGUAAAGCAAAUCGAGUCUUUGCUGAACAAUUUCGGCAACAGAAUGGAAGGGGAGGCUUAUAACACAGUGAGGGCUGUUUGCAACUGAUGGAGUAAGAGAGGAGCAAAAGUGGAAACUGCAAGGCAGAGUUUCUCUGUUGCUUGAAACUCGGAAAAUCCCAUUCAAGGAUCGGGUAUAAGGGAUAUAGUUCGAUUAUUAAGGGUAUUUUGUCCCUCAUCUCAGAAUACCGUCUGAAUUCUCCUCCUAGCUCCUCUUGUAUAAAACGUUUCGUUCAAAGAGAAAAUAGAAGGCCAUUCUUUUCCUUCCCUGUUAGGCCUUUCUUUGCAUUUUUUUUUGGUUGCCUUCAUCUUCCGAUUCUUCCCUUUUUUUUUUUUUUUUUUUUUUUUUUUUUUUGUAUUUUUAGCAUUCGUGUUCUCACUUUUACUUCGAUUGCAUUUCUUUCCUGUUUGAAUAGUAUUUAUAAUCUUAGUACAUAAUGGACAGGGUAUAGUUCAGAAGUAAUCGUCAGUUUGUAAAAGUUAGGAGGCUGCCAAUUUAGUUUGCUUAUGAAGAGCACUAGGCUAUGCAGUCAACCCAAAGGAGGGCUCCAUGCUCUUAUCCUUUGCUCUUUUGGACAUCAUAUAAUAUCUAGUUCACUCUUCUUUGCCAGAAACGAAAAAAAACUAUGUGUUCCCUGAAAUUAUUUCCUCAUUUAGAAUGAAAAUUUUGUUUCUUCUACAUGUAUCAAGAAAACUUUGAUCAUCCUGCCAAAGAUGAAAAUGCACUCAAAUGAAACCAAUAGAUGAAUGAAUGAAAGGGAGACUUGCGGUACAGAUCUAGGUAAGAGCUUCAUGAACGAAAAGGACAGUUCUGUUGCAAGUCAUAAACUAGACUAUACAUGGUCUCUGCAUGUCUAAUAUGUUUAGCAGCGUGUUGGGCAUACACAGUUGCAGAAACUAAAGGAUGUUACGCAAUAAACUCCAGCAGACGAAUGCUAGUAUCCCUCCCUCAAGUUUCCCACUUUGCCUUGCCUUACCUGCUCAAGAAAACCACCGUUUAUAGUCUAGUGAUGGCCCAAAAAAUUCAUGAUGAUGCAUCUUCGGGCUGCGGUCCUUGCAAUUUGAUUUUGAUCCCUACCCUUUUGCCAUAUUAUACACUACUGGUCAAUUCUCCUGUGUAAGUGCACAUGUUCACAUAUACAUGUAUGUUUUUAUGUAUGCGCAGGUGGCUAUCAAUCAUUGGGAAGAGUGACUAGUAACCUUCGGUAAUUUGAAAUGGAACCAUUAUUCCACAUACAGAUAUUGGCAACGGGUUGCAAAGAAUUGAAUGGAUAGGACCGGAAUUCACCCUUGAGCAACUUGUUAAACAACUGCGAAACUGAGGGACCACUAUUCAUUGAAAUGAAUUAACGAGUUUCACCGCAGUGAGAAAGGAAUAGAUGUACGUAAUUAACACCUUUUGCAACAAAAACUAUCAAAACAAAAGGUUUCCUUGAAAAUUAAGGGGGAAAAAAAAUUUAAGGGAUAGUUUCACUUGGUACUUUCUCAAAUUUUGAAAAAUCUCACUUGCCUUCUCUACUUUAAGCUUUUUCCAACAUUUGAAAUCCACUUCAAAAUAUAAUAUUAAAAAACUCAUUUUGGGAGAGAGAAUACAAUUUUUUUUUUUAAUCAAAAUUUCCCGUUUCUUGUUAUUUCUUAAUUGUCAUAGCACACCAAAUUUAUCUCUUAAUUUUUGUAAAUUGGUCGAUAUAGUUCUUUGAUGAAAAUUUAAAAGUUGAUAUCAAGAUCAAAAAACCCUUUAAUCAUUUUUGUGUCAUUGCUUCGUACGAGGAAUGUUAAAUUACUUAUAUGAUUUUCUUAAAAUAACUUGCAAUAGUUGACAACUACGAUAAUACCUUUUUGCACUAGUUUGAAAACAAUGCAAAGGAACUUAUAUAUAAUUUUUAGCAUGUCUUAUCUCUUUAGUUUUCAAACCAUCAAUUUGGACAAAAAAAUUUAGAAAAUUCAAAAAAAAAAAAUGUAAAUGAUUUAUAGAACUUCGUAAAGAAAAUAUUAUCCUUGUAACUUGCAAAACUUCAUAUAAGCUUUCAAAUACUAACUCUCAGAAUUAAAAAAACACACUACUAUAUUUUGUCCGAUACUUUUUGUUUAUUAUUAAUAUACUCAUGUUUUUGUAAUAAAAAAUAAGUCAACAAAAGGGCGAAUUUGGAAUGAGAUUAUAUUUACUCUUCCAAAAUGAAUUUUUUAAUAUUAUAUUUUAAAAUACGUUGUAAAUGAUACAGAAAAGUUUAAAGUAAGGGAGGUAAGUGAAAUUUUUUAAAAUUUGAGAUGACCAAGUCAAAUUGUUAGAAACUUCAGGAGGGGGUUUCCGAAAUUAUCCCAAAAAUUAAAGAAGGUUGUCCUGCCCAUGUAGCAGGCUCCUAUAUCUAUCAAACUGGACAAUCAGCAGGGGCCAUGGAUUAAAGAGCUGUCUUCAACCUUAAUAAAUUAAGAAUGGUUAGCAUGUUAACUUUGAGGGCCAACAUAUACAUACAUAUCUGUGGAGGUUGAAGACCAUGGCCAUGCAUGCAUUAAAACUGUGAAGAGCUAAAUAAUCCAGCUACAUACAUACCUAAGCCAACUGAUACCAAGUCAAAUUGUGAGAGUGGUCAGUUGGUUGGUCCAACAAUUACUGUGUUCCACAUUGAAAGGUCGGCAAUGGUAGCUGAAGUGCAAGGAGCAGAAGAGUUCAAAGUGACAACAGAGAGAGAACUGGUUGGUUUCACUUUCAGUCUUUCACCAUAAUUAUAACCACAUACAUGUAAUGUACCUUGAUUUGUAUCUGAUAUAUGUCAGUAAAAUUUUCAUUCAACGUGAAAUCGACAGCCAAAUUAAAUAGAGAAAUGGACGGGGUUUCCACCUUCCAACUUCUCAUAGACAGCAACUAGCAUUUGUCAACCAUGCAUGGUCCAAUAUCUAUUAUUGAAUGCUUGACAAAUAAUUAUCUAUUAAAUAUAUCUAUUACUUUGUGAGGUUGUGUUGUUGAACAAUACAACUAGCAUCUUUCUGAAUCACUAAAUUAUCCAAAAAAAAAAAAAAUGCAAUUAUCUAAAUUCUUGGAAUUGAUGAAAAUUUUCGUUGACAGAGAGAAGUAUGUAAAAUUUGUUCGAGAAGAGGCUCCAAAUCCUUCCAAAAUAUAAGGGAAUAACAGAAAAUUGGGAAGUUUAAUCAAGAUCUCACAAUCAUCAAAAACAUUUCAUGAAAUAUUAGUUUCACAUUUUAGAGACAGUAGUAUGUAUAUAUGAAUCCUCCUAGAUGUGUGAGGUGUCUUUCCAGCUUUCACAAAUUGUACUUUUUGUUAAUACCAUAAUCAAUGUGUAAUUAAUGCUUCCAAAUUAGAAUUGCUUUUUGAGAAACAUACUAUUAUUCAAAGGUAGGAAGACCACAAAAGAUCAAAUGACAGUCGCAUUUGUUUUGUUUAUGAAACUCUACAAAGUUGGGUUAACCCUCCCAACUACAUCACACAUGGAACAUUAUGACUGGUUGCUCCUUCCAACCACCUCCUUCCCUCUUAAUUUCCUCUCAACUUUCCACCUAGAACAAUAAAUUGUGAUGGGAGGAUGAUGCAUAAACUGUCCCACUGCUACAGGCAAAUUGCAUUUCCAGCCUUCCCUCCUACUCAAAAUUUCUUGAUUUCGUCUCCAAAAAGCUACGUGAGCAUGUGAAAAUCAUAAAUAGAUUAUGCAAUCAAGAAAAUGCAGAUGUUGAUUAUGCAUUAUUAAUUGUACUGUUAUUUAAGAAACCAACUGCAUUAGGUUGGAAGAGUUUAAUUAUGUGGUGGCUUAAUGGUGGAUAGAAAGCUAAGCUUACAGAUAAUUGACUUAUCGCUUUGUAGAUUUGAAGUUUACUUGUUUAGUUAAACUUGCUUUAGGUUUUAAGUGGUAAAAUAUUAGUCUGAAGAAACAAAAUGUCCUUGAGCUCCUUUUCCUCUAUAUACGUAUACUCAAGAUGAAUUGCAAAUUGAAUUCCAUUUCUUAAUAAUUUAGGGCAAGGAAAAGUCACUUGGACCAUUCAAUAGAUAACGUACAUUUGAUAUACAAAUAAACUUUUUGUGGUAAAUUUCAUUGAGAGUAGGGGUUUGCAUGAUUUUGAGGAAACAUAGAAUAACACAAGAAAUGGUCUUCACUCAAGAACUUGACCUAGAAAUAAAAUACUAUCAGAAUUCACUAAUUAAGUACAUUUAUUAGCUUGCAUGUGACUUGACUGCUGCAUAACUAUUCUAGAGGAAAUUUGAUGAUUCUCGAUGGGGGUGUUUUGGCAGUUUUAGACAACUCUAAGGGUAAACUGCUAGAAUCACAACUAUAUUUAGCCCUGCAGCUUUGUCAAAUCUCCCGUUCCAUUUUUAUCCAAGUAUAGCUAACAAUUAGAAGAAAAAAAAAAGGCUAGUAGGAAAAAGAAGGGGAAAAGAAAUCAUGCCUUUGGUGACAGAUGAGAUCAAAGCAAGUGCAUCAGAGAUGUACAAUGGAAAUGAAAUUUGCCAAGAGAAAUCAAAAUUCUUGCUCAAAGAAGUGGGAUUGCCAAAUGGUCUUCUACCCAUGGAAGACAUGGAAGAAUGUGGACAUGUGAAGGACACAGGCUUUGUUUGGCUGAGGUCCAAGAAAAAAACUGAGCACAAGUUUCAGAAGAUCAGCAAGCUUGUUCAGUAUGCGCCUGAAGUCACAGCAUAUGUUGAGCAGAACAGGAUCAAGAAACUCACUGGAGUGAAGGCUAAGGAGCUUCUGAUGUGGGUAACAAUUAACGAGAUUUAUGUGGAUGAGCCCUCAACUGGGCAGAUUCAUUUCAAGACUCCUGCAGGGCUGUCAAGGAAUUUUCCGAUUGAUGCUUUUCUGGUGGAGGAAACUCAGAAACAUGGUGUCAAGGAAGCUGUGAAGGUUGCUGCUGAUGCUGGUUCCGCUGCCAUUGAAAAUGGAGUUGAUGCUGCAGGCAAGAAAGUUGACGAACAGAACAAAGAAGUGACUAAUGGAGCUGUACAAGUGAAGGAGGUCUAAGACAUAUUGCUGCUGAUCAUAUCAUCUCAAGCUAUAACCAACUUCAUAUGAAUUAAUUAUUAUCAUGUUUUAAGGUGGAUGAAUGACCAUUUUGAUGUACCCUGUGAUCAAUGAUAUGAUGAGGUUCAUGUUUUAUGUUUAUGUCUGUGGUUCACAUUUGCUAUAAAUUUAAUGGAUAUAGUAUUGCUUGAUGUUGUUAUAUAUAGAGAAUCAUUAUUCAAAUUAUUGAGAUGCAUCCCAACAUGAUCUGAAAAGAACGAGAGUUCUACAUUUGUGCUGAAGGUACCAUUUCAAUAUUCAGACAAAUAUUUUACCAUGGGAAUCUGAUUGUCCUUUUUUUUAACCCCAAGAAUGUUAAGCAAGGAGCAACAGAUUAUCCUCCUGGAAAAAUUGAAUUCUGCUAAUUAUUACCUCUCUUUGAUCAAAAUACAGAACAGAAAAAAGUCAGUAUCUUUGUCCUUUUGUUCUAUUUUGAUGAACCCUUCAAACUAUUGUAUUGUUUUUAACUUCUAAUCUUUAAAUUGCUGGAGGCAGGCAUGAAGUUCAAGAUACUUGUACGCCCUUGAGCUUUCUGUACUUGAUUGGAAAUGCUAAUCGUUUAAGAUAUUAGGUUUCAGAACACAGCUUGUUAUUAAAUAUACCUUUUUCUGAGCAACAAUCAAUAAAAUUUCAAUAUGAAUUGCUUAAAUUUUUUCGGAUUUUCCUGUGAUUUAUGCCCAUUUUAUCCCCUUGCAUUAUGAAUUGCAUUUGCUUGGCGUAAAAACCGCAAUGCUUGAGUAUGAAUAGCAAAGAAAGUGACUUAUCUUCCUCAUAAUUGCCAGAAAACCUAGAUACACAAAUUCUUAAUUGUACUCCAAAAAAAUCUAAAUCCAGAGGCCCAGGAAUACUUGUAUGACUAAUUAAUGCGUAUAUGUAAAAAGGGAUAAUUUCAGAAACAUCCCUUGAGGUUUCCAGUAAUUAUAGAGAGCUCUUCUUAAGUUUCAAAAAUUACACCUACCUUCCUUGCUUUUAAGGUUUAUGACUAUCUAAAUUUUUGGGAGGUUUUGAAUUCAAAACUUUCUACUUAUUAUUCCUCUCAUCUUAUCACAUUAAAAAAAGGACUAGUUAGCUAUAUCUUGUAACUGUAAAAUUAGGAAAUUUUUUUAUUUUUGUGGUCACAAAGUUCGGCAAAUCAACCAGCUUAAUUUGUUCAAAAUAAAGGCUAUUUUCUAGGGUUAUGAUAAUGCAAGAAGAUAAUUUGAAUAUAUAUUUUUUUCAAAAUAGUUAAAAGUUAAUAGGGAAAAUUUUAGCACCAUGAUAUGAUGUAAUUAUGAAAAGAAUUAAUUUUAUAUAUACUGACUGUAUAUACACUAAUAGGUAUGAAUACAUGUUACAUGUACAAAAAUUGGAGUUUAAAUCCAAAUUGGAUUCUAUAGCGUACAUUCAUAGCCUAUACAAGUAUACACUAUCAAUGUAGACAAGUUUAGACGUCAUGAAAAAUAUUAAACUUUUGUUCACCGACUGCUAAAACAAUCUAGAGAUCAACAUAAUUUUCUAUAGACCAUAAUGUAGUUUACCUAAACUAGCUAGCUGUAAUGGAGAAACAAGUCAAAAACUUGCAAACCUUGAACAAAUCAAGGUGGUGGAUGGCGAGUGGCAAAGUUGCGUGCCAGACUUUCUGCCAUUUUUUAAUUUAUGGAAGGAAGUGCAAGUAUUCAGACAUGUAUGAUUGAAAUAUAGGAAGGGCAGUCUAUUUCAACCAAAUUUCUUGUUUGUUCGUUUUGAAGCUUUUAUCUUUUUGUUAUGGGAAUAAAUAAAUGUAUGUUUCGAAUUCCAUAGACAAAUUCGAGAAAUGACGAUAGAAAAGAAACUGAUACAUAAAGAAUAUGCAAAAGGAAAUCUAUAUGUCUUUUCCAAACUUCUCUUUUAGUGCAAAACGUUGUCGUACAAAUAUUAAAGGAUUUAUCUAGCGGGAUAUUUAUAAGGUAAUUGUUAGUCCACUUAAAUUAUGAUUAAGGAAAUUAAGAGUUGCAUUAAUAAAUAGUUGUAGAUUCAUACUUUUUUUCCGCACAAUAUUUUGAUUAGAAAAAAAUAUUAUUUACACUCCAAUUUUUGUUAAUUGUACUGCAACAAUUUGUUUUAUCAUAUAAUUUAAUAAAUAAAAAGCAUAUAAUAAAAAUGAUAAUCAGGAUAUGAUUAACAAAAAUAGGAGUGCGAAUAACAUUUCGUUCUUAUCAUUUCUUAUCCAUCCAUCGUUAUAUAAGUGGGAAUUAAGGCCCGAACGACUCCUAAGGCCCAAAAGGAUUAGGUGGUCAGCUUAAUGCUCUGUCCGGAACUGGGUCUCCGUUGUAUCGAUCCAUUAAGUUCGUAAAAAGGUCCACAUGUCCAGCCAAUGAUGGGCUACCUGGUGAUAUUGAUGUAUUCAUGGGCGGUGGACAAGUUCGAUGAUAAGACUUGUGUUUGGGAAGCCAAUUUGACGUAAAUGUAUGAGGCUUGAUCCAAGACAACAAUGCGGUCAACUAGGGCUUGAUAGUUUUGUUACAAUCCCAUACUCGGCUUUCAAAUCAUAGAUUUGUAAAUUAACUUAAAAAAGCUUGAUUUAGUUGUAGUAAUUGUACAAGAGAAGCAACAUUAUACAUACUAGUGCUCAAUGCACACCUCAAAAAAUGUACUAUAAUAUUUAUGGUAAUAUAUUUUAAAUAAAAUUUUUAUUAUUGAAGGAAACUAUAAUCUUUUAAAUAUUUUUUGGUAAAAUAGUUUUAUAUUGAUAGUUAUAAUGUUUAUGAAUAGUUAUGUUGAAAACAUAUAUUUAAAAGUAAAAAUAAUCAUGAGUAGUUAUAGAUAGUUAAAGUAAAAGUAACUUUUAUAAGCACAAAUACGAAAGUUUAUAAAGUGACGAUAAAUGUUAAUUCCAGAUCCCUCCCUCAACCUUUAUAUGCAGUAUAGAUGUGUGUGUGUAAACAGACACAUACACGCACAAUAACUCCAAUUCUCAUUACUUUAAUUUAGCCAAAUCCCUGUAGAACACAGGUGAUAAACAGGAAGGAAUUUCACUAAAAUCCAUUCAGUUCUAUACGCCAUCCCUCUGGCAAAUCGACCUCUAAACAAUGUGGAACCUCAUCGCUCAACAUAAAUACCGAUCCUUUCUUGGUAUACAUAUCCGUUUAGGAGGAAAAUGAUCCAAACAAUAGGUUGGGCACAUUAAUGAUAGAACAAUCAAAGCCACGCCCCUUAGGGAGUACCACUUCCAAUACUAAUGAUACACGUUAUCAAUGUUUAUGGUGCAAGUCAUUAAUGUAUUAGGAGUGCAGAUUUAGGUCAAAGGGAAGUGAAUUUAGCCUGUCCCUUUAUAUUAUUCUCACGUACUCUUUUUAUUAUUAUUAUUUGGUUCAUUGAAGAUUCUACGAAAAGGAGGAGCAAAAGCAAAGAAUUUUUUUUUUUUUUAAUGAAAUAACCAAUGUUAUCAUCCCAAAAGUUGGGGAAGAAACCUUCAUCACCUAAUUUAUGUUCCUACUUGAACUAGGUAAGGUAUUGGGGACUUCCCAUCCCAUAUGUCUUUGUCUAUAGAGUAGGAUCUACGACGGUAAUGCUUGCCCAAGAAUUCCCAACGACUUAGAUCACCAUAUCCAUAGGCUACUAAAUUCAAAGGAUCAAUUCCAAACAACCUUAAUGAUCGAAUUAAAUGUGUGACUUGCAUCUACAUAUAUUACUUUCAUUACUUACAAUAAUAAUAAGUGCGAGCAAAUCCUUGGUCGCACGCAUCUACCCAAUUUCAGAGCCAAACAUGUGAAACAUGUAGGAUGGUUCUGCCAAUUAAACGAGCAGUUGAAGUUCGCUAGACAUAUUGAAUAGUUCAGAUACAUGUCAAUUAAUUGAGAGACAUACCUACCCUAAUCAGUGAAUUAGGAUUGCAGUAGGCAUUCGUUCCCCAAGUUUGACUGUGUAGAUUAGCCCCAAAAAAUAAUUUCUGAAGUUCAAGUCAUGUAAUGUAAAUUGUUUUCAAUGCCUUGUGUGAGAUCCACAAAAAAAUUAUUCUAUAACUAUAUUGCGUUUAAAGUUAUUUGCAUCUUGAAGAAGUGAACUUACACUUUAUUGAAAUGGACAAAACUAUUUCAGAGUGAUUGCACUGACAACUGUUUAUGUCACCUUUUGGAUAUCAUGACCGAAAAGAAUUAAAUCAGAGAUAAUAGCAUUUUAUUAAGAACAAAAUUGAAGUUGAAACCACAACAGUGCAUCUGAUAUUGUUUCUGUAGUAGAGAUAUAGGUAAAAUAAAUGAUUUAUAGAUACAAAAAAUAUAUAGAUAUUUGGAGACAGAGAUAAAGAGGAUGUUGCCUAUAAUACAUACCUGCACUGUUGAAGCACAAGGGUCCAAUAGCAAGAUCCAUCCCAUGAUGAGUGUUGGACAGUAGCAGAGCCAGAACAUUUGUUUAGAGAUGAAAUAACAUAAGUUUAUACUUAUAAUAUGUUGGUUCAAAAAUUUUUGGAACAAUUAAAUAUUUGUUAUAAAAAAUUAAUUUAUUCAAUAAUCAAUAUUACAAAAUUUUUAAAAACAAAUAAUCUGAGGCUUUGGAUUUAUUAGUUGCCAGGUCAUCUGAUGGAAUAAAAUUGUAUAGUAAUUAAAAUUAUAGAUAUGAAUACAAGAUUUAUGAAUAAUUUAUACACAAUUGAACUUCAAAUGAGUGUUUGAUUCACUUAUAAUUAAAGAUAGUUGAAUAUUUAAAUAAAGUUCAGUAUAACAUAAAUAACAUUUAUUAGACAGUGAAAGGAGAUGAAUGAGUUGGGUGGUUUGGGUGAGGGAGUGUAAAUAAGAGGUUUCGAGUUUGAAUUCUCCUGUACUAUAUAUUUUUUUAAAAAAAGUAAUAGAAAAAGUAACCUAUAAUAUGUUUUCGUUCAAGGUUCCAUUACUGUCAAAUUUCAAAUGGGACAAAAGCAAAACAAUAAUAAAAUAUCUAAAAAAAAUUUAGACUAUUCUAAAGUUUCUAGUAAAAUAUCUAAAAAAAUUUUUAGACUAUUCUACAGUUUCUAAUCGCACCCCCUGGGUUCAAUGUGGCUCUGCCAAUACUCUAUGACUAGAUCCAGUCAUGAUCUAGAGUUCCAAGGGCAGCUGACCAAUUUGACGUACACCAAAAAAUGUAGAAUGUUUAGAGAUGGCAAAGGUAAAAUUUGAUGUCUGUUGGAUACCCGACCCAACGAUUAAUUCAAUUGGACGAUCAAUGGGUUAUUUGUUAGGGUUUGAUAUCAACGAAUAGUUAUCGAAUAACUCAAUACGAUUUAGUAAGAAUAUCCUAAAAAACCCAAUAGUCGAGACCCAAUGUAUAUACAACUAACUGAAAACAUUAAAUGGAGACAAUUGUGAUUAAAAAUAGAAGAUUGUGGACUUGACCUUUCAUAAAAUGUUUGAUUUUUCUCAUGUUGGUUAUACAGUUUUGUCCAAGUUUAAGACUCAACAUAGUGUAUUAUUAUUAUUAUUUUUUUUUUUGUCUACACAGGGGUGUUCGGGUCAAUUCUUAUGGGGCCCGACUAAUCUCCUAAGGAUACAUGUAUUGAGUAAUCCCCUAAGACUCAACAUAGUGUAUUAGUUUACGAUGAUACAUGUAUUGAUUUUAGUUUAUAAAAGUUAAUUUUCUUUUUUUGAACUAUUCAUAUUAGCAUUCGCUAAUAUGAAAAUUAAAAUUCGUAGCAUUCGCUAAUAGCAAUUGAUAAAAAACUUGAUAUAGUUGUAAGGUCAAGGGCCAAAAAAAUUUGCAUGCUCUAAAUCGCCUCGUUCAUGCUUUAAAGCUUGAAGGCUUUAGUCUUUUGAGUUUUUUGUUUGUUAUUUGUGGUUAUAUAUUAAUUGUACCAUACUACCCUGUGUUGUCAAUAAAAUGAUGGAGUUUCUUCUCUUGACGAAAAUGCAUAAUUGAAUUGUAAGUUUUGCUCAAAUUAAGGUAGUAAGUUAAGUUAACAUAGUAAGUAUUGUUAUAAAAAUGGUGCAAGUUAAAGGGGCGCUUCAGCACGAAAAAUUGGCAAGGAACGUUCAUAUUCAAAUUGACAAACUAUAUGCAUAAAACCUCAAAACAGCAAAAAGUGACAAAUUAUUCUCUCCAUUUGUAAGUUUACAUGGCCGUUUAUUGGAUAACCAAACACAAAAAAACUGACCCAACCCAUAAUGUAAAUUGCUAAGAAUCCAUUUAGAUUCCCUAUCACUUCACCGAUAAUUAGCUCAGUUAAAAUCUUUAGACUAUUCUCCAAGACUUUUGAAUGGCAUAGAGCAAUUCGAAACCUCUAAGGCUUGUUACAACCUACCAAAAUGUUUCAAGAAACCUCCAUGCAUUGGUUCUAACCUCCAUGACCUCCUAUCCGUUCAUUAAAAUAGACCGUACUCCUACUAUCGGUCCUGAUUUUUCACUGAUUUUUUUUUUUAUAGGUAGUAGUGCAUGUUUGGCCGACUGCGGGACGAACACAUGCGGACCGUGUCAGGCUUUGUGUUCAUAUGGGCCUUUCUUGAUAGCGGAGCACUUUAAAUCUUAAUAUUUAGGAUAGAGCAAGAUUUUCAAGAUAAUACUGUAUUACCUUUUUGGCAUAUGACGUACGUUAGGUGAAAAGAUAAUUGAAAAUUAAAAACAAAAAAUUGAUUGAGAAACAUUUUUAUGAUACCACAAAUUUUUUUUUUUAAAAAAAAUAGACUGUCCGAACAUUGUUUGGCUUACAUCAAAAUCAUACUCAUGUAUUUAUAAGAAUAAGUUGCGUAUGAGCAAAUGCUUUGCAGGAUGCAUUUAAAAAAUUCUAAAGCUAAAUGUGUAUCCGUGUGGGAUAGUUAAGUUGCAAUUUAUGAGAUAAUGACUCUUACUGAAACUUCUGAUACAUGUUAAUUAAUUUAGACAAACUACGUUUUCAAAUUCAAUUAUGCUUGGCUUGCAUCAGAAUUAAUUUACCUAUUUAUUUGUAAGAAUAAGUUGCGUAUGAGCAAAUUCCUUAUAGAUGUACCUAGCAAAUUGAAGAGCUAAAUGUGUGCCCGUUUUGGAUGGUUAAAUGCAGUUGCUGAGAUGCGUCCUCAAAGUAUAUUUUCUAGUCCGUCAUUGAAGACAUAUCCCAUUUUGAACGUUGGAUAGGUGCUGCAGUCAGUUACAUAUAAAUGAAGCAAUUUCGUGUACGUUAGAAAGGCAAAUGGUUGGAUAGGUGCAUGCAAAUCUCAUUUUUCUUUCGUUUGAGUAGGUUAUUACUUGUUUUGGCAGAUGGAUGUAAAUCGAUGUGAAACCAUCAUUUUAAUGGGUUAAGUUGGAUAUUCAUUUAGAUAUCCAAGACAAAUCUUUCUGCUCAUCCAAAUUCAUUUUUGCAAUAUGGUUUUGGAUUAAAAAUUGACUUUUCAUAGACGCAUUUACUAGUGAUUCAGGCUGUACUGUACCCAACUAAAGCUUGAGUUACAUAACUACAAAUGUCAAAUAGUCGAUCUUCAUGGGACGUUGACAUGAUAUCUCUUUGAGAAUCAGAGUUAAAAACAAAUUUUGAAGUUAAAAGGAGCAUUAAUUACUUGAACCAAAUUUUGCUCUUAUAAAUAGCUAUGUUGCCUAGCAUAAACAAGAAUUCAGGUCAAUGAAAAUGUCUCUAGUCACACAAGAGAUAAGGGCUAGUGCAUCAGAAAUUUACAAUGAGAAAGAGUUGUGCCAAGUGAAAGCAAAAGUGUUUCUUAAAGAAGUUGGGCUGCCAGAUUGCCUACUUCCAUUGGAAGACAUCGAGGAAUGCGGAUUCGUGAAAGAAACUGGCUUUAUUUGGCUUAAACGGAAGCAAAAGAUUGUGCGAAAGUUUGAAAAGAUUGACAAGCUUGCCCAAUAUGCAGCUGAAAUCACAGCCUAUGCUGAACCAAAGAAGUUAAAGUCCGUGACUGGACUGAAGGCCAAGGAGCUCUUCUUGUGGGUUACUGUGAGUGAUGUAGAAGUUGAAGAUGCUCCAACUGGAAAGAUCUCUUUCAAGUCUCCUCUAGGGCUGACAAGAACUUUCCCGCGGUCGGCUUUUGAGGUGGCGGAAGCUGAAGAGGUUAAGACAACAAAGAAUGAUAGAACUGACAAUGAAGUGAAAUCAAGGGUUUAAGUUUGCGAUUCAUAUAUGGCAACUUGAACAUUCAUAAGGUAAUUAGAGUCACCUACAAGAUAUUUGAGUGCACUAUAUAUAUCACCUAAUUCAUGCUUUAGAGCAUGAAGAUUUAAUCUUUUGAGUCUGCGUUUGUUCUGUGUGGUUUUGAAGACUUCUUUGUUUACUCUGCAGGGUGAUUGCGGUGUUAUACUACUCUAUGUUCUCAAUGAAGCAAUAGAGUUUCUUCUGAUAAAAUUGCAUUAAUUGAAUGGUAAAUCCAUCGUUUGGGUUGCGUAGCAAAACUACCACUCACUCUUUGCUGCCUUCCAUGCACUAAAGUAUAUAUAGGUCGUGUCUCACAAUCCAAUUCAACACUUAAAUUUAUGAAUUUAGAUCUUAACACGUUCUUUGAUAAUCAAAAGUAGAGCAUCUGAAUUAAUUAAAUGAUAUAGAAUUUUCUAGACAAACUUACUUCCAAAAAUAAAGUAUAAGCUAUUCAUUUAUCACUUAAUAUGAUAUACACUCAAAUGUAUCGUAUAUAGAACUUAACAAUUCAGUAAUUUAAUGAAUUCAGAUUUCAUAUUUCAAUUUUUAAUUUUUAAAUUUCAGUUUUAUCAAAUGCAGCCUAAGUUGACCAAUGUUUCUCUUAUUUGGCUUGUGACUUUGUUGGUAUAUAAGAAUUCCAGCCUCUAAUGCUUAAUCAGCAUCAACUUUCGUCCAACUUUAGACAACCACGAAUCACUCAAGUCUCGAUCAGUUCUUAGAAGAAUCUAUUUUGAAAAUAAAAAUUUGCAACUUCAUCCACCAAAAAAAAAAAAUGUUUACACUACAGUGAAAUAACGAGUUUUUCGUGCUUUGCCUAAGGAAAUUAAUUUUAGAUCAUAAAGCCAUUUAACGUACAAGUAACUCGAUCACAAGCUCGAAUUGAACUAUCAGAGGGCGGCAAAGAUAGUAUUUAAGGGCUGAUCAUGGUGGUUGAUUUAUACAAGAGGCAGUAAAACAAAUGUUUGCAAUGCCAUCAUGUAUGUAAGGAGGCAUGGACUAACACCACAAAAUUAACACUAAGACCAUGCUUAGCAAUUUAGUAAAAAAAAAAAAUUUUGCUUAGUAUUGUUGCACUGACCCCAGGCACAAGCUACAUAAAGAAACAAGGCAGUGACUUUUUUUUUCCUCCCCUUUUUCAUGAACUUGCUGCUCGAGUUCUUGUCUCUGUGGUUUAAGCCUCAGCCUCAUACAAGCAAACAAUGACAACAGUCAGAGGCACUGAGAUGUGACUCAAGGACCUUUCAAGUUAAAUUCUAUCCAAUUUCAUCAGGUUGAUGUAUUGCGAUUUUUUGUGUAAAUUUAUACAAUUUUAGUAUAAUCGUGGAUUUUGUACCAACUCAAUUAUAUGAGUGAUGAAAUUCACAUUUACGUUAAAACUAUACAAAUUUACACCAAAUGUUAUCUAUAUACUACUAUAUAUAAAGGUUAAGGAAAGGAAGGGGUUUGGAGUUAACAUUGGGGUUAACACUUAUUGUCACUUUAUGAAUUUCCUAUGUAAAUUCACCAUGCCUGCUCUUUAUCUUAUUUACCAUUGUACAAGCCUCCCAGAAUCGUUUGCAUGCAACGUGCAGUUAAAAAAUGAAAAGCCACAAGCAAGAUAGUUACCACUGCAUCAUAUACUUAGAAGUUUCUGCUUAGGGUUAGUUAGUUAAACCACACAAGGUAAUGCAUCAGAGAAGAGAAAAGCAAAUAGGCAGGUCCUUCAUCUCUAGUGUCCUCAUUCAGACUUCAGAGGAUAGUAAAAAUAAGCAAGAAUAUCUGAAUAUAUGAAUCAUGCAACUGAAUACAUAUACACGAUAUUUGUUUGAAGACGAAAAAUCACACAGGCAGGAUGUCGUCUUGCUCCGCCAGAUAGUCAGAAAUUCAGAGCCUGGUGAAAUGAUCAAAUGAACCAAUGAGUCAAUACAUAUAGGAUGUGAUCCCGUUCACUGGUUAAUGAACAUAUGAUGUUAUUCGAGGAAAUCAUAAAGCAAAGCACUUGAAAUUCAGAUUUUCAGGAAACCAUAAGGAAAGCAAGGAGAGAUAUUCAACUUCAGAGAACUUCUUCCUUUUUUUUUUUUUUUUUUUUUUGGGUGUCUUUUUUAGUUAAAAAAAUAGAAAGAUAAACUUCAGAAAGUUAAAUGGAGGUUUCUCCUGGAAGCAAUUACCUAGGAAGGAAUGGCCCACUUGCCAUCAAUCCACUCCUGGUGCUGCCUCAGGUCAGAGUGCUUAAACUUCACAGCAUCUUCAGUCCCCGGAAAAUAGAUUAUAUACUUUUUCUCCCUAAGAACUCUGGAUAUUACUCCUUCCCACCAACAAUCAUUGAAAAGAGCGUCUACUUUGUCAUUCACUUUGAAACAGUCGACCAAAGCAGUUUCCGGUGGAUGUGGUCGUAUGUUUAUACUAGCAACCUCCUCUUUCAAGAAUUCUGUGUCUUCUUCGUUUCUCAGACUCCGAUACUGAAUCAGGUAUUUGUCCUCAUCAAAUCGUUUGAUGACAGUUGCAGGAAUCCAAGCACCUUGAAAACCGUCUUCAUCUAUUCGAACUUCAACUGUUGCCCCUCGGCUAAAUUUCUCCUGUACUGUUUCUUUGCCAGGCUUCCGUUUGGCUGGUAAUAUGGACACUUUCUGCAAUCCGAAAAACAGUAAAUUUUUAUGCUAAAAUUGGACUGAUUAUAAACAAACAGAGAAAUACAAGUAGCCAUGCGACAGUUAAGACAUCUGGAAGGGCAGGCAAGGAGUAAAAGUUAGAAGAUUGGAGUUCAAUAUUGGCAAAGAGGGAAGAGGUUGGCAUAUGUUGUUCCAAAAAAAAAAAAAAAGUGGUAAACGCAAUGAAGCAGUCAGGAGAACAUCAAGGAAGCAACACGUGAAAAACUGUUGGAUUCUGGGAAACCAUUGGUUUAUUUGAGGUUUUGCCUUCAUAGGCACUAGAACAGUCAAGCAGAGGAAGGACGUGGACGUGCACAGAGAUAAAACAAUCAUUGCACAACCUUAAAUCAAAAGCGCGGAAUAUAACAAGUUUUGUUCAAUCAAAGCAUGAUUUUUAAUUGUUUCUAUAGCCAUAUAGCAGACAAAUCCAAGGGGAUACAGCAGGAUCUUGGCUGUUCCACCAAUCAGACAAUUUCGUUCAUCUAAUUGUUUUGCCCAUAAUAUGUAGAACAAACAUGUGAAGUAACCUCUACAGAUUCUGGAAUUUGCUUCAGAAAUUUUAGCUGGACAGAAUCAUAAUUAUGUAUUCAAAAGGUUCCUUUAACUAUUUGAUCAGAUAACAAUCUAUCUAUUAAGCUGAAAACUGAAAGUCAUGUAUCCACAUUUUCUAGAUCUUUAUGUAAAUCUAGUUGCACCAGACUUUAGCUAUAUAUAUAUCUUUUUUAUAUCCCGUCCCCAACAAUUCACAGAUAAAGAUGAAGGUAAUUGAUCAUGUAAGCAUUUCCUCAACAUGACUAAAAUUCGGUCAAGCGUUCCACAUUUGAUCAGAUGAAGCGAAACUUAUUGAAUGAGGCUGAUAGACUAGUAAUUAUCAUUAUACAAUUAUGGCAGCUUCAAGAAUACGUGCAUUUGCAUACAACGUACAGUUCCAUUUUCUCCUUGGUGCAAUUCAAUUUUGAUGGCAGAAUGCAAAAGUAGAUUCACGGAAUAAUAGCAUAGAGGAGGUCAGCUAUAAAUAAUUUCUCUACCAUAAGUAAAGAACAAGAUAAUCUGUAGAAUCGGUUCCCCCCAGUUUUUUCAUCCAAUUCCACUUAUCUUUAUUACUGUAUACCUAACAAAACACAUAUAUACUGAAAGAAUUUUUUUUUUGUUUUAAUGUAUGUGCUUAAAUAACCUACUUGAACAAAUCAGUACAGAAGGAACGCCUUCAUGCAUUAGUAAGUUAACACUAAGAUAGACAAAAUACUUACAAAACAUUCUGCAACAUAUAUGACAUUAAAAAUUGGAUUUAUUCUCUACUGAUCCGGAAAUCAUCAAUAUGGUAUUAAUUAGUACUCGAUAAUCUCAAGGUACAACAGAAUUAACAGAUGUACUAUGCAUAAUAUUCUCAUGCACCCAACUAUAACAAUCUCAGCCAUCAAUAAAUAAUUCAUCAACAUUUACAGUUUUACACACACCAAUAUGCACAAACACCACAGAAUCAUCAAGAAACUCAUGAACCUGCAUUCUGCACCCUAACUCACACCUUAUCUUCUUUUGGUUCAAUCUCCAACGGAGGAACCCACGUGCCGUUCACCCAUUCACGGUGUAACCGGAGCUUGGACGGAUGAAAUUUCGACAGCUCCCUACUAGACCUAAAGAACACCGCAAACUUUCCAGUUUUGGAAACCCCCGUGAUCACGCCUUCCCACCAUCCGUCGUUAAAAUAAACAUCCACUUCUUCGCUCACCUUAAACUCCCGGUGAGUCUCCCGGGGUGCCGGCGGCCUAAGCUGCACAACGUCGAUUUCUUCCCUCAGCGGGAUUUUUCUCAAGUCGUCCUGCAUCAGGGUUUUGUACUCCACCAAGAUUUUAUCAUUCUUUAACUUCCGGAUAACGGUUCCGGCGAACCAGGAGCCGCGAAAGCCGUCCUCAUCGCUGCUGAUUUCGACUUCGGCACCUUUUAUGAAGUAAUCCAUUAUUCAAGAGAGGAUUUGAAGGGAGGAAGUUCGUUAGCUAUUUAGUUAGGGUUUAUGGAGUUUUGGUGAGAAUUUGGCGGGAGGUAGAUAUGCUUUUGUGUCAAUGUAUGUAUCAAGAGUCAGUAAAGAGGAUGUUUGAGGUUUUCGAUUGAAACUAGGUUUGGGGAAGAACUGAAAUUUGAGGGUUUACAGUGAAAAGUUGUAAUAUGAGAUUAUAGGAUUUUUUUUUUUGGAAUAAUAAGAGUUGUGAAAAAGGAUUUUUGGCUUCUAUCAGAGUACUAGAAUACAAGGUAAAAACAGAAGGAUAAUACAAAAUAAAGGAAACAGAUGUUACUAAAAAAAUAAACAAUAUAUUACUAACUCAAACAGAGAUGCAAACAGAUGUUUCCAGAUUUGACUUACACGUUACCCCCCCCAAAAAAAAAGCCAACUAAAAAAUUUGGUCCAAUCAAACUCCCAAAAAAAUAAAAAUGUCGAACCAUUCAGGCUAACUGGUUUUAACUUCUAAACAAGUUUGCUGAAUUUCCCUUUCUUCUAAUUGUGUCUGUAUUGCUAAUGACCAUUACUACUAGCCAUUUGUUUCAAGUCUCAUAGGCCUGGAAAUGUAAGAGCUUAAUCCCUUGUUUGUUUUCCGUCGAGUCUAAAUGAAAGCUGCAAAAAACAUGAAUUAAUUUGGUGUUUAAAACUUUUGUAGUUUCAAGUAAACCGAUAGUUCAAAUUAUAUAUGGAUGACAGUUCGAAGUGUAUUCCGCUCCUUUAAAUUGCAGUUCACGAUGCUAGUCUAUCCAUUUAGGGGUAAAAAUCAGUUUUAAAAGUGGUAUAUAAAAUAUCUGCUUUGAUCCCCUACUCCAAUUGUUUGGUAGUCUUGGUUGUCAAGUCAUAUGGUACCAUAUUGAACUUUGCAGCUCCUAUGCGGAUAGAAAAGAUGAAUUUUUUAAGAGAAUUAAGAGUUCCUUUUACAAUUUUAUCUUGCCUAGGUUGCUGUUUUAGCUGUGUUCAUAACUAAUAGCUACCAGCUCAAUCGUUCUAUUGAUCGUUUGUAUUGCCUGUAUUUGCUUAAUGUCUAUGCCCCUUCAUGUCUCUAACCUCUUUCUGUAAAAGUUGAUGGAAAAAGACAUAGUUGAUAGAGCUUACACACACUGGAAAAAAGAAAAUUGACAUGUAUAUUUCAUUGGAAGAGUAAUUUGAAGGAGAGGAAAGAGUGUAACGCAUGUUUGAAAAGUUUUUUUUUUCAUCCUCUUGCUCUCGUCCUGUAUAUGUGUGAUGCCAUUUCGUGUGGAAUCUCUUGGAGAAAAAUAUAGUUCAUAUGGUUUGUAGUAGGAAGAAAAUGAUUUCCCAUCCAUGAAUAUGUACAUAUCGUACAUAAAAAGGAAAACCUUCAUUAUCAACGUCCUCUCACGAACUUGAUCUUCCCGUGCAAGUGAUUUUGUAGAUCAUGAAGUUAAUUGGAGAGAAUAAGGAGGAGAAAGAGAAUCAUACUUCCCAAAAGGUAGGUAUAGAUGCUGAAAAAAUUAGUGUCUAACUACAUUUGUCAUAUAUGGUCGAACUGAUCAAAUAUCGUAGAACUACAUUGGUCAUACAUAGCCCAACUACAUAUUAUGGCCAAACUAUGGUAGUCUCUAACUACAUUGGUCAUACAUCACUGAACUACAUAUUAUGGCUGAACUAUAGUUUGUGCCCGAAGCCAUAGAUAAGGCUUAUCUCAAAAUUAGGAGAGUUGUUAUUAAUUGACAAGUGAACGAACUAUCAAAUUUAUCCUUAGUAACUUCAUAACAUGAAAUAAUCACCAAAUUCUUAUCAAGAACUCAUGGGAUAAUGACCAGAUAGUCAUCUUUAUCAGGAAUUCAUGAAAUAAUCAUCAAAGGGUUCGUUCAUUAUGAUCCAUUCAUACUCAUGGGAUGGUAACCAGAUAGUCAUCUUCAUUAGGAACUCAUGGGAUAUCAUCAAAGGAUUCAUUCAUAUGAUCCAUUUGUUCGUAUAAAUACAGAUACAAACCAGAUCAUCUGAUACUCAAUCAACUCUUUACUUCCUUUUUAAAAUUACUAUUUUUAAAAAAUUAUCAAUAACUCGAAAACUGACUUAACUCUCUUAGAAACUGACUUGAUCUUGGGGAUUAGACACCAGUCCUUUGACAACCAACUUGAUCCUAAGGAUUAGACUCUAGUCCUUUAACAACCCCUUUCCUCACAAGGACUAGACCCCAGUCCCUUGACGACCCCUUCCCUCCGAUCUUUGACAACUCCGUCCAUCCGGUCUUUGACAACCCUUUUUGUGUGCAGGUUAUAUUCAUGAACUGCGGUCCUUUAACAACCCCUUUGUAUGUGGGUCAUAUUCAUGAACUAUGGUCCUUUGUAUGCAGGUCAUAUUUAUGAAUUGAUUAGUGUAUAUAGGUCACAAUGAUGAACUGAUCAAAAGGUUAGUUGAUGUGUUCAUCUCAUUCUAAUAGGUCUUGGUGGUAAUAUUCUACCUCGUAGGGUCCUGAUGAUCACAAGAUCAAGAUUCCAAGGUUGAUCAAUGUGUUCAUCUCAUCCUGACAAGUCGUGAUGAUAAUAUUCUAUCUCGUGAGAUUUUGAUGAUCACACAAUUGGUCUUCUUGUGGGGUUUUUAUAAUCACACGACUGGCUUGUCAAACGCACAUCACCCAGGUCGACCUGGUGAAGUGCCUAGGUCAGUUUAGGCAAGCAUGGUUGUCUCAACAACUCAACUCACUCGGCUAAACCAUCCAAAUCAGUUCAUCCCAUGAUUUUUUUCUAUUUUUUUAGUAGCCAUUCCAUUUUUUCUUCUUUGAAUUCUUCGUAUACAUACAUGCAUCAACAAUUUUGGGAUUGCCUUUCACAAGGGGAAGGGGAAAAAAUAAUAAAAACAGAUUGAAUUAUCAUUACAAAAUUAAACAGAAUUCUUUCUCAAAGAAGUCGCUUGUCAAAAAAGAAAAAGAAAUUUAUCCCUUAAAUGAUUACAACUGCUUUGUCAAAGAUCUCAACACAGAAACUAUCUUGAUAAUAAUAGUCUGUUUAAUAGCAUACGGCUCCACGAUAUCAAGCUUCAAUAUAAUCAAUGAUUUUUAUUUGACAGAAUUAAUCCUAGCUAGUGAGUUAAAGAGUGCAAACUAUUUUUAAGUGAAAACAAAUCCUAAGACACCAUGUAACCCUAGACGCACGUAGAUACUUUAAACUAACAUAAUUAAACACGAAAGAUGAGAAACUGUACGAGAAUAGCCUUCUAAUUGGCUCCUGAACUACCGCGCCACAAGACGGGUUGCAAUUGGAAUGUAUCCAUCUUGAGAAAAAUCAAUAAGGGGCAUAAUACCUGGAAGAAUUUUCCGCACCAUACCGACCUAACCUAGAGCAAGAAAUAUUUUUUGCCAAUGCCGCCUUGUAAACUCUUCCACCACAAUCAAAAUUAUUGUAAAGUGGCCUACAUCCAUUCGAGAGCUUAAAAUUCUUGGUGUCACAAAGAUUGGGUCUAUUGUAACUUACCUGUUGCUCUUGAAACCUGCAUGAUGUCGGUAACAUCAUUGGGUUUGGAGAAAGCCCUAGCUGCAUGACUUUAUUAUUUACAAGACGAGAUUUACCCAAGUAUUUUUCUUGGUAAUAAACUGUCGGAAGCCUCGGCGAUUUGAGAUUGGGACAGGAAGUUAACGUGGGCUGUGAUUUGAUUGAGGGCUUGUCUUGGUACUGCCCAGAAAUUGAGAAUUUUAAUGUUCUGUUGAAGAGAGUUACGAGGCCAGAAAAAAGUUUAACAGCAUAUUCAGCUGCUUCUUCUGUUACAUAUUCUGCAAAGGCAAAACCUCUCAGCUUAUCAGUUUCUUUAUGCCGAGGAAUAUUCAAGUUCACCACUGGCCCUGCUUGAAUGAGGAUAUCAUACAGUACCCUUUCCUUCACCCUUUCGUCUAGAUUUCCUAUGUAAACAGUGCAUCUACAGUUGUCAGCCAUCCUCCAAAGGAAAAAAAAAAAAGACUGCUGAUUCUUGGGAGAUUUGAGGAAUUGAACCCUAAGGGGGAGUGUUAAGAAUUUAAUCUUGAGAUGAACUAUGAAAAUUUUGGAAACCUGUAGUCAAGCGUGGAUAAAGAGGGUCAAAUUUAUACUAUUUGUCGAUGAUAGCGUCGGAAAGAAAGACUUCUUGUUCGAUAUGAAUGCUGAGAGGAAAAAUGUCACCGACUUUAAAUCCUUUUCAGUUUGGGAUCUAAAAUCAUGUUGGUUGCGCUGCAUGGAUUUGAUAGCAUGCUUCCUUUUAACGGGUUAUAUUUCCUUUUUUUCCGCCCCCCAUCCUUCAAUGAGUUAUAUUUCUUCUUAUAGAACGUUUUUUUUCCUCUAGAUUUUUUUUUGGAUGUCACAUAGUAUCACUUCUUUCAAGGGGUUGUUUUCUCUUGUGAUGGUGAUCAAUCUCUUGAUGCUUUCAUAGACCCACAUCACCUCAUAUCACUCAAAUUAGAUAUUUUUUAUAUCAGUUUUUGGUUUGUUAGCUACCAAAAAAUAGCGUGAACACGUAGUGUUUAAUAUGAACUACAUCUUCAUUAGGAAAAAUUUUUGAAACCUCUCUUGAGAUUUCUUUCGCUUUUAGAAAUUCUAAUUGCUACCUUGCGCCAUGGUCACAUAGUUUAUUUUUGAUCCUCAAUGAUGUCCCUCAAUAAACUGAGUUCUUGUGAUAACUUGAUGAAAACAUGCUUGUUCUUUAAAUACUAUGCUAGUGAAUGUGCUCUUAUGCUAUUUGAUGAUAAUCACAAAAGACUUUAUCUAUAGAAUACCUUCAUUUAAAAUAGCAUGAAUAUUUUUUUGGCACAUAUGUUAGCAAGAAAAAUCCGUUGCCUAUCAACUGCUCUUUUCUGGGCUUAACAGCCAUUUUUGUCCUAAAUGGCAAUUUUUUCUUUUUUCGUUAAAUUGGCACCUUCCUCACAAAAAAGUGUUAAAUAUUUUUUUCAUACAUACAAGGGACGUAAAUCUGGAAGAAAUUUAUGUGUCAAUACUUUGCUCCACUUUCAAAGCCACUUUUUUUGGGCUAAAAUUGUUAUCAAACAUGUUAUUUAAGGGUAUGCUAGUGUAAUUUACAGUAUUAGAGGGUAUUUAUCUAAAAUUCUCAGAAACCUUGAAGGAGGUUUCUGAAAUUAUCCCUUUCAUUGAUAACAACCACCUCAUUGACCAUGUUUUUUUUUUUUUUAAUUUAAUAUCCUUCCCACCCCUCCUUUAUUGACAACUUUAGCAUGAGGAAUUUGUGGCAAUCUUCACGGAUCUUAUUCACAAUUCAAGUGAUUCACAACCUCAACAUGGUUUUCUUAGAGUGUUGUUAAUGCAUUAAGCGAAUAUGUCUUUGAUUGAAAAUUAAUAUUCCUAAUUGAAUGAAAGAAAUACUCCUAAUUGACUUGAGGUAUAAAUCAGGGAUCAAAGCAUUUGUCAGUUACAAUUAUGCCUUCCAACACAUAACUCAUAUUUUCUAUAGAACUAUCACAAAAGCUGUAAUUUUUGAAGUUAGAGAACUCUUAUCCAUUAUUUUUCCUUUAUUCACUACCUUUUCUAUGUCAGUCGUUAUUUUAUCAAGUUAUAGUAUGUGUGUAACUUUCAAAGUUAUCGUCGCUGUCAUGCUAUUAUUAUUCAUUUUUCUAUAUAGACCUUGUUAUGUUCAAAUUAUAUCAUUACAUAUACCAUUUACAAAAUCCGUAUUCAGAAAUAAACAAACAAAUUUUGCCUAUUAAAACUUCCAUUGGAUUGCAGGGCAACAUAGUACAAUAUUAUUUCCUAAAAUUUUCUUUUCCUUCCUUGCUCGACAUAGUUUUCUUGGUUUCUGAUUUGUGAUUUCAAACAAACCCAUAUACAAUAUCCAUCAAUUUAUGGUACGCUCGUGGAACAAAAGUUGAAGGGUUUGUGUAGCGAGUAUCUGUAUGUAAUUUAGGUGUUAAAUUUUUAGAAAAAUAAAUUUAAUUAGAGAAAAUAUAUGAAUGCGAAAAAAUGUAGUUAAAAUUAGUGUAUAGAGUCAGACGCAAUUUAGAUGUGUUAAUGCGCAUAAACACCCAUCAGAAAAAUUCAAAGUUUAAUAAGGAAUUGGUGUUAAACAUAGAUUAUAUAUGAUCUUAUAAACUCAGAAGCCAUUUUGUUUAAAUUCUAUAAUCACUAUCCCUAUGGAUAUGAUAAAUUAGAGAAUGGCAAUAAAUUUAAUAAAAAUCCAUAGAGAGUAUGAAAACUUUACAGUAAUAAGUUUUAGUAAUAUAUAUUCACUGAGUGUUUAACAAAUAAAAUCAUCCUUUUUAAUAGCUAAUUAUGAAACUCGAAUUCUAUGUAUGAAUGUGAUUGACAUUGAAAUACAUUUAUUUUUUGUUUUUGAAACCACCUUAGAGUCUUGAGGCUCAAGGAAAGAGCAAGAAAAGGGGCGGAAGGUUGCCGAUUCAGCCCGGUCCGACGGUUGAAUCGGUCAAACUAGUGGAUCGGUCAUGGAAUCGAGCUGGAUUAGUAAUUGGAUCGGAGUUGCAGAUUACUCGUUUUGAAUCGUAUGACUUGGGCGGUCGAAUUGGUGACCUACUAAACUCGGCAAGUUUUGAAAAUUUUUCUGCAAUUACCUUUUUAUCAAAUUUUUUUAAUUUAACCAAUCACACCAACAUGGGCAUUGUUGUCUUUUUGACAAUUAGAUUAGAAAAAUUGAAAAGAGAUUUGAGAAUUAGGGUUUUUCCUUUGUUUGACAUUUAGAUUUGUGUAUAAUAUUAAUAUGAAUUCAUAAAUAAGGAACACAUAUGGAUAUGGCUUGUGUGUAUGAAUUAUAAAAUAUGAAUAAGUUAAGACUUGUUGACAUUUAAAAAUUUUUGUACUUAUAUAUAAUUUAUAUGUUUAUUUAAUUAUAUUAUAUACUUUUUCAUUAUAUAAUGUGAUCUGAUAGUUCAACUAAUGAUCUGACUGUUAAACCACUGACCCGUCAACCCGGUCCUCUUGCCGGGUUGGUUUUAAUAACUAUGGGUUGAAUUAUAUUGGUUAAAAGAAUCCCCUAUGAGGCAAUCUGAAACGCGAAACAAGCCAUAAGCGCGCCACAUGAUUCUAGAGUGGAGGCGCCAAUUCAAACGGUCAUAUCUUAGAAAAUAAAAAUACAUCUUAAAUACCACUACUAAUCAGCUCAGUUCAUAGCUCGACAAAACUCAUAUCUUAAAGCUUUUAGCCUCUCGUUUAAGUCUCAAAAACCUAUCAGAUUUGCGCGCAAAUACACAGGCACAAGGAUAUAUGAAUUUGACAAAGCUAAAUGCUAUUAAACCAACUUUUCAGGGACAAACCUCUUCAAAUAUAACCUUAAAUACAUCGAUCUUAGAUGCCCUUUUGCGCAAAUGUUUCAAUCUAAGUCAAUUCAGCCAGAUUCUUUCACAGAUGAUCUCAACUGGGUUUUUCAGAGAUACAUAUGCAGCAAGCAGAAUUGUCAAGUUUUCUACUGAUUCUUCAUUUGUUCAUAUCGAUUAUUCUCACAGAAUCUUUAGUCACAUUGAGAACUCAAAUGGGUUCAUUUGGAAUACCAUGAUGAGAGCCUACAUUCAAAGAAAUAAGCCCAAAGAGGCAAUCUUUUUGUAUAGAUUAAUGUUGAAAAAUAAUUUGAUUGUAGAUAAUUAUACUUAUCCUUUAAUGGUCCAAGCUUGUGCAUUCAGGUUAGUAGAAUUUGAGGGAAGAGAGUUUCAUGAUCAUGUGAUUAAAAUGGGUUUUGAUAGUGAUGUUUAUGUGCAGAAUACUUUGGUUAAUAUGUAUGCAGUGUGUGGGAACGUGAGGGAUGCAAGGAAGUUGUUUGAUGAAAGUCCUGUAACAGACUUGGUUUCGUGGAAUUCGAUCUUGGCUGGGUAUGUUAAGAUAGGGAAUGUUGAGGAAGCUAAGAUGAUAUAUGAUCAAAUGCCUAAAAGGAAUACAAUUGCGUCUAAUUCAAUGAUUGUGCUGUUGGGUAGGUGUGGUAGGGUGAGUGAGGCUCUUCAACUGUUUAGGGAAAUUGAUGAGAAAGAUUUGGUCUCCUGGACAGCUUUGAUAUCGUGUUAUGAGCAAAAUGGCCUGUAUGAAGAGGCUCUGAAGUUGUUUGGCGAGAUGUGUUCUAAUGGGCCUGCUCCUGAUGAAGUUGUGAUGGUGAGUGUGCUCUCUGCUUGUUCACAUCUGUAUGUUGUUAAAACAGGGGAAUUGGCACAUGGUCUGGUUAUAAGAAUUGGUUUUGAAUCUUAUGUAAAUCUCCAAAAUGCUUUGAUUCACAUGUACUCUUCUUGUGGAGAUCUAGUGGCCGCGGAAAAGUUGUUUGAUGCUGGUCGAUUUCUGGAUCAGUUUUCUUGGAACUCCAUGCUUUCUGGCUAUUUGAGAUGUGGCAGAGUGGAAAAAGCUAGAGCUUUAUUUGAGUAUAUGCCUGAAAAGGAUGCUGUUUCAUGGAGUGCAAUGAUCUCUGGGUAUGUCCAGCUUGGUCAAUUUUCAAUGACUUUAGGAUUGUUUCAAGAGAUGCUGAUGAAGGAUGUCAGGCCUGACGAAACAACUCUGGUUAGUGUGAUUUCAGCUUGCACCCAUGUGGCUGCCCUUGACCAAGGGAAAUGGUUACAUGCUUAUAUAAGAAAAAAUGGGCUAGAUAUAAAUAUCAUUCUCGGCACCACCCUUAUUGACAUGUACAUGAAAUGUGGAUGUGUGGAAAAUGCAGUGGAAGUCUUUACCGGCAUGAAAGAUAAGGGGGUUUCCACUUGGAAUGCUCUAAUUCUUGGUUUAGCAAUGAAUGGUCAGGUGGAAAGAUCCCUUGAGAUCUUUGAAGAGAUGAAAAUAAGUGAAGUAGUACCUAAUGAGAUAACAUUUGUGGCAGUUCUUGGGGCUUGUCGACACAUGGGCCUAGUAGAUCUCGGGCGUGGUUACUUUGAGUCGAUGACCAAGAUAUACAAUGUUGAACCUAAUAUUAAACACUACGGCUGCAUGGUUGAUCUUCUUGGACGUGCGGGCCUUCUGAAAGAGGCUGAGAAGCUCAUUCAUAGUAUGCCUGUGGUGCCAGAUGUUGCAACUUGGGGUGCCUUGCUUGGAGCUUGUAAAAAAUACGGAGACAAUGAAAUGGGAGAAAGGGUGGGGAGGAAGCUUAUUGAGCUUCAGCCUGAUCAUGAUGGCUUCCAUGUAUUAUUGUCCAACAUAUAUGCUUCGAAAGGUGAUUGGAAUGAUGUUAUGGAGAUCAGAGGGACAAUGAUGCAGCAAGGUGUUGUUAAAGUGCCUGGUUGCAGUAUGAUUGAAGCCAAUGGUGUUGUUCAUGAAUUCCUGGCAGGUGACGAAUCACACCCUCAAAUGAAAGAGAUUGAGAUAAUGUUAGAUAAAAUGGCUAAGAGACUGAAAAUAUUAGGUUAUGCACCUGGUGUCAAUGAGGUUUUCUUUGACAUUGAUGAGGAGGAGAAGGAAACUACUUUGUUUAGACACAGUGAGAAGCUUGCUAUUGCCUUUGGACUUAUUGCAAUUAGAUCACCAACACCAAUAAGGAUAAUGAAAAACUUGCGAAUCUGUAGUGAUUGUCAUGAGGCUGCAAAGCUAAUUUCUACAGCUUUUAAUCGUGAAAUUGCGGUGAGGGAUCGACAUCGUUUUCACCACUUCAGAGAUGGUUCUUGUUCUUGCAUGGACUAUUGGUAGUAACAUAUGCCAGGAUGCAGAGAAUCAGUUAAAGAGAGUAGGCUCGAAAUGUUAUGUAUAAGUUACUGAAUGGCUUGGUCUUCCUUGCUCCUGAGAAUAUGCCAGCACUAACAUAAUCAUUUGUGGGUUUACCAUCACAAGUGAAACUAGAACGAGUGGGUUGUAAAUUAUACCGAGCAUAUGCUUUGAACGUGCCUUGGAUCUUCUGUUUCUUGUCCUCAUAAGAUCGGCUCGUUGGGCCUUGGCAAAGAUGGAAAGGCAUGUAUUUUUUAAUUUCUCUGCCCUACACUAGUUCCGUUUUCUUUUGUCUUCACCCUCUGUGAGGGCUUUCCCAUCAGUGUCAUUAUUUUGUAUUUAGCCUGUGCAGGUUGCCAUUGAGCCACUAUGACUUCCAUGGAGCUUGUUGAAGAACAUUUUGGUCAGACUCUUUGCAGUAGGUAUGGAAGUCCAAAAUUUCUUGUUUAUUUCAGUUGCUAAUUUUGUCAUCAGUCAGCAAAAAUUAGGUUGACUGAAAAGUCUUCUGAUUUCUUGGAUUACUUAUGAUUGCGUAACGCCAAGAGAGAUAGAUCUAACAGAAUGAACAUCUGGAGACUAAAUGUCCUGUGUUAAAGUGGUACUUCUAACUACAUGAAUUACUUGUCUCUGAAAUUAUGAGAUUAUAGACCAAAACAGUUGAUAAUAUUGAUUCUUUGAUAUUAAAAAACAUCCAUAUUUUACCAAAUCUUAUUGUAGUUGUAUCUGAUUAUCAUGGCUUAUGGCUAUCUAGGCUGGUUUGAAAGAUGAACGAUCUUGAAUUCUGUAACAGACUGCAUUCAUCCUGACACUUGUUUCAAAUCCAAAUGUAGGAAACUAUCCCUACAGGCUACACAGCAUUAUCAUAAACCAGAAAAUUCCUGCAGAUGCAGCAUUCAGCGAAGCACAGGCAUUGAAUCAUUUGCAAAUCCUCUAGCAAGAAAAGUGACAGAAUUAGCAUGCUUGUUCUUUUUCAAAUUGCAUCAGCUAGCUCAAUCUCUUCGUUAAUAGCUAAUGUUGUAGGAAUGAAUGUUUGAAGUGUCCUAUAUGGUUUUAGCCCCUCCCACUCACCAACAGAAAUUCGAGAAUGAUCAGAGGGCAAUAUAAAAUCCCAGACUAGCAAUUGCAAGUCUCGCAGGCUGUUUUGCUCAAUUUGGACGUCUGGUUUUUCCUCUUUUAUUUUGGUAAACAACAGCAUUUCAAUUAAGAAAAAAAAAUAAAGCAGUUUAACAAGGAUUAAUUACUGUCUUCCUAGAAAAAGCAACACCCCUCAAAUCAUCCAAAAGUAGGGGUAUAAAGUCAGGGCAUAAAUGAUACAAAAUAAAAGAUUCCAGUAGACUUCCACCCAGCUUAGCCAAAGCGUUUGUGCAGCGGCUGGCUUCUCUAUAGUAAUGCCUCAAUGAGACCUGAAGGAAUUGUCCCACGCGUAUUCUGCAAUAAGUUAGAAUAGGAGAGAAUUCAUGAGUUUCAGUAUCAGUAUUUGAUAACAUAUUGACAAUAAGUAUGGAAUCCAUUUCAAUUUCUAAUUUGGAAAAAUUAUGUUGAAUGGCCAGAAAGUCUCAUUCCCUGUUAAAUCUAUGCAUACACAAAGUUUCAUUCCCUGUUAAAAGUAAAUUUAUUGAAUCAGAAAUUUGAGCUUUUUCUUUUCUGAUAAGCACUUGUGCAAGCCGCUGUGCUCUCAAACUAGAAACAGUUAUCCAAAAGAGAGAAAUCCAAGAACAAUACAAGCUUUUAUCUCUAAAUAUAAACCAGCGUACAGAUGAAUAAUUCAAUGUGAUUAUUGUCAAUUUUUUAUGUGAAGAUCAUACAAACGGGCAUCUGGGGUAGAACAAUGAUCGAUCCAUCUAAGAUUAUGUUGUGUUUCUUAGAAUUUUGCAGGGAGUGGUAGGAAACAUCUCCCUUUUCAAUUAAUCCUUGUGAGAACUUCCAGAAUCCUGCUGAUAUAUUUAAUCUCCCGUGAAGAUGGAGCUUCUUUUGUAAAGCUUUUAGCAACUCUCGUCUGUCAAACGGUAGAAAACUGACGGUUCCAUCUGUUGGCCAUUCUUCUUUUCAUUCGAAUAUCUUGAGGAGUAGGGAAAAUGUUGUUUGCCUGUAAUGCUCGUCAGAUCACAACUGAUUCCUGCUGAUAAGUUAUUUCCCUUCAACACUAAGGCUUUCUCUUAGCUAUGCUCUUACUAUUUCAUGCCUCAUCAAAGGAUUUUUGUCACAGUUACAUCACGAUCCUCCAUGGCUUUUCCAAAUUGCAACCAUCACGUCCCAUCUUCUAAAUCAUGUAGAAAAUAAUCUAAUUCAGGAAAGUAUCCAGCAUCCUUCAUAUGCUGUAGCAGCUUUUCUAGAACCCUGUAAACCCAUUCCAUAUGAGAACCCACCUUAUCUCCAGCAACAAAACAAUAAAUUUCAUUCUGCAAUUCAACCCAGCUUCUCCCUGUCUCUUUCUUGUUCCCCAGUCUUCUCAUUAAUUUCCGAGCUGCUGCAAACUCUCUCCAGUUUCCAUCAGCAGCACAGAGGUUUGAUAACGUGAUGUAAGUCCCUGCAAUACCUGGCCGCAGUUCCAACACUCUACUUACUGCUAAUUUUCCCAAUUCUGGACGUUUAUGCAUUUUACAAGCUCCCAGAAAUACAGCCCAAACAGUUUCAUCAGGCAGAAAAGGCAUACUUUUGAUUAGCUCAUAAGCCUCCUCAACCCUCCCUGCACGUCCUAGCAAAUCUACCACACAACCAUAAAUCUCCUGCUCUGGCUUGAUAUUGUAGUCAUGAACCAUUGAUGUAAAGUACCUUAAACCUUCUUCUACUAGACCAGCAUGGCUACAAGCACCCACAACUGCCAUAAAAACAAUCCGAUCAGGCAUAAUCCCAGACUUCACCAUCUCAUCAAACAAAUCAACAGCUUCCUUUCCAUAACCAUGGCUGCCGUAUCCUAUCAUCAUAGAGGUCCAAGAAACAAGAUUUUUAGAAGGCAUCCGAUCAAAAGUUUUACGAGAAUCCAUGAUGUUGCCACACUUUGCAUACAUAUCUAUCAGAGCAUUAUCCAGUUCUAAGUUUCCUUCAAGGCCUCUUUUAACAAUUAAUCCAUGAACCUGUUCUCCAAAGCUCAAGACUGCCAAAUUAGCUACAGCAGCCAAAAUGCUGGUAAAUGUGAAGCAGUUGGGACUAAUACCUUCUAAUUCCAUUCGGGAGUAUAUUUUGAGUGACUUGUUAGGAUAAGACUUCUCAUAUCCAGCAAUUAAAGUAUUCCAUGUUAUCAAAUCUUUCUCAGUCAUUACAUGGAAACAGACAUCUGCCUCGCCUAAACUACCACAUCUACAGUACAUGUCCAUGAUGGCAUUCAUUACAGGUGUAUUGGAUUCGAACCCAUUCUUGACCACUAUUGCAUGGAUUUGCUUGCUGUGCAUAUAUGAGCCGAUUGAGGUACAAGCCCUAGCUGCAAUUGAAAUGCAAUACGGAUUCAGCUCCUCUCCUGCCUGUCCACCAAAAAGACACAAAAGAAGGUGACAACUUAGACUUGCUGCGUAACAAUUGACAAAAAAAAGAUUUAAACAUCAUUUGCAGAUCAUGACUUGCACUACAAUUUAUCCCUCAACUGCAUCUGUUAGGCGGAAUCCCCCAAAAAAUAAAUAAUAAUAAUAACAACAACAACAACCACCAACACCGAGCAAACAAACAAAAAAAACAAAAAAAAACUAAUUCAACUUCUUUCCAGAGCUUGAGGCAUAUAAUCUAGAAGAGUAUCAUCUAUCACAUUCCGUUAUUGUAAUAGCAUGUUUAUGUUGCUGUUGGUGGAUAGCAAAAGAUUCAGAGAAAAUACGAUACUUUGAUAUAAAAUGAUACGCACAGUUUGAUCAUCUUCUGAUUUCUUAUUUGCCCACUUAAUUUGUAUAACUUGAUCAUCUUCUGAUUUCUUAUUUGUCCACUCUAUUGAGUCAAAUAUAGGGAACACAUCCUUGACAACAUUCUAACUUCAUGUAUACUGAUCGUUUUAUAGACCACCCACUAAGAUUCUAGCCAUCUUAUUUAGAUUUUUGUUACAUUCAGUGAUGACAAGUGUACACCCCCUCCUUCCCAUUUUAGUCUGAAAUUCUUUCUUAUGAAGAAAGAGACCAUACAAAAUUGGGAUGUAGAGAGUGCAUACCAGUAGCAUUUGCCUAAAAACUUGAAGUGCACCAUAACCAUCAUCCUGAUGAGUGUAUCCAGCAAUCAAUGUUGUCCAUGACACAGCAUUCUUUGUGCCAAUUUCCCCAAACAACAUGCUUGCCGCAUCCAUAUUCCCACAACAAGUUGCAUACAAGUCCAGAAGUACAUUAUCCACGUAAAUGCAUCCAGGCAUGGCAUAUUUGAUGGCCAAACCAUGAACCAAAGAGCCACAAAACUGCGAUUUCAUGCCUUUACAAGCCUUCAGCGUGCUAGAAAACGUAUACUCAUUAGGUACCACGCCUCUACAGUCCCUCAUCAUGGCACAAAACAAACUCCAUGCACGCUUGUGAAAGCUACAGGAAUUAUAACCGGAAAUCAUGGCCGUCCAUGCAACUACAUCUUUCCUCGGCAUUUCAUCGAACAAUAUCUGUGCUUCUUGUAUUUGGCCAUUUUCAAAGUACGAUUUGAUGAUGUUGGUAGCCAGAUAUGAAGGGGGUUUCGGUAAAAAUGGCGGGCUCAAAUGGGUUGCUUCGGUUUGUAGCCAAUGAAGCGAGUUCCUGAUUGUCUGAGGGAUUUGAUGGUUGAAAAUGGUGGACACCCGUUUUCUUGUACUCAUCCGUAAUGCAUUAUUGUACGUAACUUUUACACUAUCAUAUGGUGUAGAAGAAGUUGGACUUCUUCGCCAACUUCUUCUGGAACAGGACUAAGAAAUGCAGCAGUUCGCAAUAAAUAUUCUGUUCAAACAAAAGAAACGCCGCCAAGGACAAAAAUUUGAUUCUAUUUCCACCUUUCCCUAUCUACCACCGCCCUCAUUCGGAUGGCACAUUGGGAUAUCAAAACUGAGCAAGAUUUUGCUUUCGCUGGUCUCCCAAAUCCUAAUAACAGGUCUCCCUAGAGUUGGAGCUUACGCCUAUAGGGCACAAUAGAAUUGGAGGUCUACUAUAUAACGCUAGCAGAUGACACUAGACGAGAGAAUCAUUGACGAGAACUCUUAAUAUAUUGGUGCCAUAUGGUAAUUCCCAUCACAGUUCCUUUUAUGUUUUAUCCGUAAACAGCAAUAGCUGAAUCUCAGAAAACGAAAAGCAAAGGCACUGGUUACAGCACUAAUAUUACAACUGCAAAUCUGCAACACAUCAAAUUGCAGCAGCAAUAAAUUUACAAGCAUAAUCUACUACAUCCCAAGUGAUUGUAAUACUGAAAAGUUUAGGCAGAAAGGGAAAAAACGAGGGAAAACUACAAGAAAAUCUCUCCGCCCACAGCAGAGAUAUCAUUACAAACAUGACAUUCUUGCUACAUAAUAUUCAUAUGGACAGUCAAAGGUGGCUCUCAACAAAGCCACCUAUUUGUAGUUUUGUACUUCCUAAGCCGAUCAACUAUAACUAUUAAUCGGACUACAAAUGAAUUAUUACAAUUUUACAAUGAUCUUAGAGCGAAUCUAGUUGUGUUAACUGUUAAAUCUUUGAGCUUAAAAGUGCCCUUUGCUUGCUAUAACCUACAAUCUAGUAACUGUACAGGCAAAAGCUGUUUCACCUUCAGCUAAUCUCAUUACACAAGAAUCUGGGACUUGGCAGCGCCUCGGGAGCACUUCUUACGCCCGGAUUUGCUAAGAGCGCAAACACAAAUUUCAAGAAGGUCGUAGUCUUCUUCCCAGAAUAACAGAGAAGCCAUCUCAGGAUUUUCCAAAAGCAUUUUAGAUGUUAAGUAUCCAGCUAUUGUCCAUGUCUGGUACAGUCGGGCUUGCUUUCCAACAAAUUUCCCAUACCUAGUAUCGUAGUAUUCAGGCCAGCGAUCUGCCGGAAGCCUUGUUUCUGCUAAAUCAACUGCCUUCUUGGCCAGAUCCGUCCUCCCCAUCUUCAUGCACGCCAGUGUGAACUAAAAGAAAAAACGGAGAAAAAUAUUUUAGCAUAUUCCCUAAAAUAUGUAAUUUCUUUUUUUCAACAUAUUUACUUCUUGAAUCUGUUCUCAAACAAAAAUAAAGAAUAAAAAAAGGUCAUCCUCCUCCAAUAAGUUGAUCUUCAACUACCAGUGAUACGGAUCACAUGCAAUUUGUAAUUUGCCCCAAAACAGAAACUGUAUUACUACAGCUUAAUAAAAUAACUACCUGCCACAGAAGCGUAGGCCAUGAUCCACCAUUGUGAUAAGACCAAGGUCUGCAAACAUCAAUAUCAUCAAAGUCAAAAUAUAAUCACCUCAAUAUCGAACCCUAGGUAUAGCUAAAAACUGAUAGUACAAGAGAUGGAAGAAAACUCACGUAUUCUUUGGGUCACUACCAGUGAUUAUACGCCACUCUUCAGACUCCAGAGCAGGGUAACAUAUCUUUAGAGGCAUGAGACCCACAAGGUCAUCCCACUUCGCUUCAAUCAAAUUCAAAAUAGCCUCAUUCUGUUUCGGAGUACCCAAAGACGAAACAAUGGACCAGAGAUUUCCAAGAGUAAAGAAUCUGAAGUCCAUAUGAGCUGGCUGUAGAUUACCAAUAAGAUAACCACCUUUCUCAGGAAUCCAAUCCAUUAACCAAUGAGGUAUUUGUUCAGGAUAGAUAUUAAACUUAUUUGUGGCUUCUGUAGAGUAUUCCUCAGUCUUGUAUCUGUAAAUUUCGUUUAUCUUCUUCAUAUCAACCCAAUAAUAUUCUCUGAUAUGAAAUGAUAAUGCACUGAGUCUAUUAUUAAUGGCCCUUAUUAGAUUCUUUGAUCCGUCAUCUACCCGAAGCAUCUCACGAGAGCAACGAAGAGCAGAGUAAAACAAGGCCUGAAGCAUAAGAAAUGGUUAUGAAUUCCAUCAGCUCUGGAAGUAGUUAAAUAUGACAAAAACUCAAUAAAAGUACUAGUAAUGAGUGUUAAAAUACAGGCAGAAAAUAUCAUACAAAUCACUUUGUCGAUAAUUUGAAGUAAAUAUUUCUAUUCCAAACAGCCAGAGAAGUAAAAAUUUGAAAACUUAAACAGAUAAUAUACCACGUCACAAACAUCAUUAUUACUUUUUCCCCUUUUUGGUGAACAGAAGGGCAUAGACAGAGUCUAUAAUGGUAAUCGUAGGAUGCAACAGCAGUAUGAUUCCACUUUAUCAACUACUCAAUGAAAGCAAAAGAGCGUGCAGAUUGUUUGAGAGAUCGCAGUAAUAGUAGACACUUUAGUGGUAAAUAGAAGUCAAAAAGUUUCAGCAGAGGCUCUUGUUUUUCCAAACAAAUCCAAAUGCUAUUAUCAACAAUUAAUCAAAACAUUUAACUCGUAACCUGACCAUCUAUACAAUAAAUUAACCAGUUCCCAACACAGAAUAUUUACUAGUACACAGGAGAGGCAAAGAACUCAUGUUCAUUAAUAGUUCUUCCAAAUGGAAAAAGCACUGCAGUGUCCUCAACCCUUCUAUAUGAGAUGCUUAUGGUAUAGUUAGAAUAGAUACGAGAGGCAUUGGGAACAUGAACUUACCUGAAUUUCCAAUGGAUGGCCAUGAAUACCCAUCCUUCGAUCAAUCAUACAGGAGCCAUCAGUGACAAGCAAUGAUGGAAACAUAUCAAACCCAUCAGACAAACACAAGUUCAGAAUCAGUUUUAUGCCUGUCUGAACGUCCACUCUUUCCUGUAAUGCAUAGUCACCAGUGAUCUUUCCAUAAGCCCUCAGUAAAAUAAUCCACCACAAUCCUAUCAAGAAAUCCGAAAGCACAAAAACAUUUCAGUAUCAAUUUGAUACUGUAACUCAAAACACCAAGAAAUUCCAAAGUCUCUAGCCAAAUUGCCACCCCCUCCACUCACAAGAAAGGAGGAACCCUUAAAACUAAAUUCUUUUAAAUGAGAUGAAAAAAUACACUGACUCAAGAAAGAUAGUGUAGAAGGCCAUAUUUCAAUUCAGUUAUGACACAAGGUAAAUUAGUUGCAGCAAUUACCACUGGAAACACACUAACCAGAGUCAACAGGAGCAACACGGCCAAUAGCUGACUCCCCAAAAUCUGGGUCUAAAACUUCUUCAGACUUGUUCUCAUCAAGAGGGACAGUUCUUACUUUAAAACUUGCUGGCAUCAACCCCUGCCCUGGACUAUAACAGUCGACUGUUUUCUCCCAACUCUGGAGUAAACAAGGCAAUGUAAGGGAAAUUGAACAAGAAGAAAUAGCACAUCUAGCAGAAAUAGUCCUCCAUACAUGCCCCAUCAAGAACAUGUAUGUUUUUCUAGCCAAUAAAUUAUAUUUGUCAUAUCAAAAGCAGCAAUAACAUUUUGUGCAGCGGCAACACCAACAUCCAUUAUGUAAUGAGGAAAAAAUCUACCAACAAGAUAUCCAGAAAAAAGGAUUCCCAUACACAUGUUUAGCAAAACAAGUACAGAGAAAUUCUGAAAACUAUGAAAAACCACCAAAAUUUUUGUGAGUCCCUGAUCAAUGCCAACUAUCUUAGUCUCGCUUCACAUUGCCCAUCUAAUUAUCUCAUAGUCACUGUACUAUACACCACUAGUCACAUUGAAACAGUAAGUUACAAAAAGAAAGAAAACAAAACAUGUAUGUUGCAGCUCGGUCUCUAGCAUCGAGAAUAAUUCAAGCAUUAACAGACAAUUGUACAACAAGUGCAAUAUACAAAAGCAGGUAACUCAUUCUAAUUGCUAAUGGUCAUGCACUCUAAGACAAUUAAAAAGCUUAAAAUCAAUGAUCAUCUAAAAUGAACAUAUUUGUUCUUACACUGGUAUAAUUCUGGUUUGUUUGCUAUUUUAUGUACAUUAAGACAUAAAUUUCAUUCGAUAUUUAAUCCCCAACAUAUGCAAAAGAAGAAUUGCAUUCUAGAAAGCAACCAAACAAAGCAAUACUUCAAGGAACAUCCCUUUUCUCAAUAAAAAAAGAACCAAAUUACAUAGGCAACAAAAUAAGCACACAUUCAAUUAAGAUUGAACAAUUAUAAUAAACCAACAACGUCAAAAGCAAUAAACAAUCACCUGCAAUUGCAGAGUAUGGAGGAGAAAAUUCCUGACAAUUUCCGAAUCUCCCUUGAGUAAAAAUGCAAGGGCAGAUGGAACAAAAUCCCUUAUAAACACCUGAUCAUAAUUGAGUGGCAACUUGUCAUUUGGAUCAUUGGCAGCCAGAGUCCCAACAGGGCUGCCACAAUACGAUACCACUGCAUUCUCUAACAACCUCCAAGCCUCUUUGUCCACCUCAGACUCCUCUCUGCCUACAUUUUUC